rnacentral:tRNA from 1 species
CAGGAUGUGGCUCAGUGAUUAAGCAUGUGUCUAGCAUGCACAAGGCUCUGGGUUCAAUCCCCAGCACCUCA